AUCGCCGGGCCUUUUGGCUAAGAUCAUGUGUAGUAUCUGUUCUUAUCAGUUUAAUAUCUGACACGCCCCCAUCUGGGGACCCUUCAUAUAUUAAAUUGAUUUUUUGAACAGGGAGAUGGAAUAGGCUUGUUCGGGCCCAGUUCACGAUCACCUGUAUUGUAGUAAUUUCCAGGAGCGGUGAAUUUUC